UUUAGGAGAAAGACCUUGGUAUGAGCCAACAACCGCCACAACACCUUCAGGAAGUACAACUUCGGCAGUAAAAUGAUGUACAAGAUGCAGGAAACCACUUGCUGUUUCUUCUGGCUCUCUUUAGAACAGCCCCCAUGGUGGAAGAUGUCCUGACGCACCUCAAAGUGGUUUCCUCCUUGUUCUUAGCCGAAAUCUUCUGCGUCACCUACUGCUCCAAUUACCCGACGCACAUCUCAGUCAAACCAACAGACUGCGGGUGUCACAAACAGAAACUGGAGAAAGACCUUGGUAUGAGCCAACAACCACCAGAACACCUUCGGGAAGCAUAAUUUGGAAUCAGUAGUAAAAUGGGAAACAUCCUUGACUGCCAGUCCCAUCAUGAUGAAGCAAAGAAGACUCCAUGCAUACGUGAAUGAAGUUGUGACACUUUGAAUAUUGUUAUACUGUUAUACAUCUUAUACAGUGAAUCGUUAGCAUGCAUGCAUAUAAAUACCAGUUUCU